ensembl:antisense 4921518K17Rik RIKEN cDNA 4921518K17 gene
GUCCUUUGUGAUAUGCACUUCAUCUUUCCUGUGCUUUCAGAACUCUGGGGGCCAGGAAUCAUAAUUAUAAUUGUGCACUUGGGAGUUAGAGAAUCUUACAGCUCUUAAAGUAUCUACCUCUUUCCAUCUUGACUCAAACUUGUGACAAUUUCUCUUCUACAAAGCUUCCUCCUGUUCCACCUGGAAGAUGCUUGACACAGUCUCCGGGAGCUCCUCAUAAAUGCUCGGCUGGAGAAAAAGGAAAGAACAAAAGGUUCAUCUCAUCAGUCCUCCACGGCCUUCAGUUCUACAGCGUAUUCCAUCCAGUGACAGAAUGGUCUUCUUUCCCCACAGCACACAGAAAUGGAAUGGGAGACCAGCAGGAGGGGCCAGGAAGACAGGAAGAUCACAAGAACUAAAAGUAUAUAUAAAAACGCCAUGAGGGGGUCCAUGGCUUCAUACGCUAAUUCUCAAAAUAACUCAUAGGUAAGGGGAAAGCAAGCCUGCUCCCCUGAAACUUUUUCUAGCAGCAGCUCUGAUGUAGUCUGUGACCUGAUCCUCUGCCAAUGCUCAAUCGGCUAAUAAAUGGACUCUAAGAGACAGUUGUGAAGUGACGGUUCCCUACAACUCUCCGAGACAAUUCUGCCUGUGCCUGGACUGCUCACGAUGGGCACAUGGUCACGUGGUACAGCUACAGGAGCUACCGUGGAAUAAGAACAAUAGAAAAGAGGGUCUUCUAGCUCUCAGGUUUCAAGGGAACCUGGCAGAACGGAAGGAAAGGGAGAAGAAAAAUCACUACUGAUUUCAGAUGGGAGAGUGAUGAGUUUGGGUCAUCCUUUUGCACUUCCUCGCCUCUCUGAACUGAAUUUCUUGGCCAGAGUAAACUCGCAGGGAAGUAUUACAUGCAAGGUGCUAUUGGGAUGAGCACCAGUGUUUCUACCCAGCGCUCAGGGUAAGUCCAAAUAGAGAAACAACAGGGAGAUGUAUUCAUUAAGAAUGGAAAACAGAAAUGACCUAGGACCUGACCUAGGACCAUUUCCCAUGGAGAAUCUAAAAGCUGCAAGCUUCCAGGGAAGAAAUGGACAAGUGUGUAGCAUGCCAAGGCACUGGAGCAGCGUGUGAUUCUCAGAGCACUUACAAGGCCCGGCUGGCACAGCCUGAGAAUGACAAAUUACUUCUAUGUGCCCCACAGGUAGAUACAGAUUAGAAUGUUUUGGACAAAGAUAGAUGCCUCAGCAGAAGUGCUCAGUAUGGCCUAUGACACAGGGAAAAUGUACCCCAAUAUCUAGUCAACAUACCUACUUGGGAGUAUACUUAAUAUGAACCCAGACUAUUUUAUAAAUUAACUGCACCUAAUAAUAAUAAUAACAAUAAUAAUAAUAAGCAAAAACAAAAAAUCAGUCUUCCAUCACAUCGGCAUAGUUUUCACAUGUCCUGUGUGAUAGUUUGUAUAUGCUUGGCCCAGAGAGUGGCACUAUUAGAAGGUGUGACCCUGUUAGAGUUUGUGUGUCACUGUGGGUGUGGCUUUAAGACCCUUAUCCUAGCUGCCUGGAAGUCAGUAUUCUGCCAGCAGUCUUCAGAUGAAGAUGUAGAACUCUCAGCUCCUCUUGUACCAUGCUUCUCUGGAUGUCGCCAUGUUCCUGACUUGAUGAUACUGGACUGAACCUCUGAAAAAGAUUUCCCCAUUUAACCACUGUAUUAUUAUCCAGGGAUGGCACUACUAUGCCAGUUGUAGCCUCUCUGUUUUAUUAUUAUCAUUGUUAUUAUUAUUUAUACAAGUACAUUGUAGCUGUCUUCAGACACACACUAGAAGAGUGCAUCAGAUCCCAUUACAGAUGGUCGUGAGCCACCAUGUGGCUGCUGGGAAUUGAAUGCAAGACCUUUCAGAAGAGCAGUCAGUGCUCUUAACCACUGAGCCAUCUCUCCAGGCCUGUAGCCUCUCUGUUAACAGCACUUUUAUCACCAAGCUCAUCUGUCUCUCUCUCUGCAAUUACACAAAUGUACACACUGAAUAAAGAAGCCCAUUCUGUAAAUGGAGCACCAGGCAUACUGGGAUUAGCAGCCAAAUGAAACAGAUGAAUGGAUUUUUGUUAAUAAGGAAGAGGUGUUAUUAUUGUUAGUUGAUGCGAUUUUCAACAAAAUGUUAAUAAUUUUUUCAACAACUACACACUGAAGCUGUUCACUUCAUUUUGAAUAGCCUGCUCUUCCCUCUAAAACUGCCCAUGAAGGUAUAUUUCUCCAUGUCUUCUUGUAUUGCCUUUUUUUUCCAAUCCUUCCUGUACUGUUAUUGUCUAGUAAUAAGUUAUUUUUCUUUCCAGAAACUGAUUGUGUCCUGAUGUGUUAAGAUUCUAACCUAUGAGACUUGUUUGUAUUUUAAGGCACUUUGUCACCCUGUCCCAUGUCAAUAUUGCUUUGAUGUUCCAUUUAAGCAGAGUAUCAUUUGUUCCAUUUCAAGAGUCCUUAACUGGUCUUAGCAUACGUGGCUGUUUCUCCUGCUGCACACACAUUAGUCUGACGCUGGUAUCCUGUUGUAUGUUCUGCUGCUGACUGCAUUGCCUGCUUUGUUCUUUCAUUCUCUGGUCCUUCUGGCACACUACGGUUCCUUACAUUCAUGAUUCAGAAUGUAUCAAUAGAUAAAAGCUUGUGACAACUGCAUUAUGGAAUUUCAUUACAAAUCAUGAUCGUUUUCCCGGUAUGUUACAAAUAAGUCAUAUUAAUCUUGACAUCACUAUACAGACAAAAAAAUAUAACUAUGAAUUUUAUUUCAUGACAGUAAAUAGGAUAAAAUAUAUCAAAUAAGAAGAAAAGGCUAGACUAGCUACCUCGGAGAUGUCAUCUCACCAUGCAAAGUCCUCCAUUCCUUAAAUACCACAGGACAGUUCUGCCUUGGGACUCUGCAGUUGCCCUUGCUGCACCUGGAACAAUCCUCAUCUACUCAUGAACCACAGGCUGGCCUCCAUGUUUCCUUCAGACAGGCCCCGGAGACUCAGUCUGUGGCUUCCUGCUAGCAAGAAUGCAGAUGUGAUAGAUUACCUGUGGUAGCCAUACUGGACCUCAAGAUGACCGUGGGAACGAGGAUCACGGGAGGCGGGGCUCUGAGCUGACAGGAAUCUAGACCUUGGCCUGCCAGAUGCCAUAUCUCUCCUGCACUACCUUUAUAAGACAUUUUUUUUGAACGAGGAAGAAAUAAACUUUGAUGUAGUCUAAGCCACUGUU